GUCUUAGUUGCUAAAGUCUCAUGACAGGUCUGUGAAAGUCUCCAUGUCUCCCGUUCCUGGCAGGUGAGAGGCCGCACACGCAGGACUGUGACACAGACGCUAAUCAGGGUGGACACACCCAGUGACAAGGACCUGUCCACCGUGCCUGUCAGUGUGGCCCUGGCAGCUGCUAGCUGGGCCUGACUGCCCACGCACAUUCUCUCCAGACAGAGCCCACGGCGGGCUGGCGCCCUGCAGCCAGAGCCUGACCCUGAGGCCACUCUCCUGCAAGGACCUCCCUUCCAGGAGGGACAGGGCCACGCUGAGGACAAGAGAGCAAUGGAGGGGAUCCGGGGAGAACGACUCUCCUUCGGGAAGCGGCUGCCUGGGGGAGGAGCCAAUGUGGAGGGAGGGCCGGUGGAGCCCUGGCUCGGCCUGGGGAAUGCGCCUGAGCGCCCCCCGCAGCCCGGCCACCACACCCAGGAAGGACCACUUCCCUUCACGCUCUGCCCUGGGAGUCCACCAAGCUGGGGCAGCCCAUGAGGCCCGAAAGCUGCUGGGCUGCUGACUUUGAGCUGAUCCUGGGCCGGCGUCCUGAGGGAAGGCCCCACCAUGGGACAGCAAGGUCAGAAAAGAGUCGCAAAGGGUCCUCGAGGGUCCCCGUGGCCUUGCCUCCUGAAUCUUCCCCUCACUGGCCUCUAGUGCCCCCUUCCCUUCCUCCUCCUCCUCUCUUGGCCCCACUUCCAACAGUCGCCUGCUCUCCUGAACCCUGACCUCCAGGGUCACGUGAGUCUUCUUGAACUGGGCUAUUUUGGCUAUACAAUUCUACAAGCUUGUCUCCACGAACACUGACCUUGGACAACCUGACGGUCAUUAAAUGUUCUUCACAGUCAUGACUCAAGGACACACGGGAUUUCCCCAGACGGCGGUCUCAUGAUCGGCUCCUCGUUGGGAGGUGCUUGUUGCCUCUGGGAUUUUGCUACAAAGAAUUAAACGUCUUUCUGCGUCCGGCCUGGGCAGGGACUCUGGUCAUUUCCUAGGAUGGCUUCCUAAGGUGGAAUUGCUGGGCCGCAGAGCAUGCGUUUACCCCAAAGGCUGUGAGUGAGUGUGGUGGGGCAGGGGGACCAUCUCAAACCGAUGGAGGAGUGGACGGAGCAGAGCAAGGACAGUUUCUGACUGGAAUGCUCCAUUUUCCCUACAAACCAGGACGCGGUGCUGUGUCAGGACAGUCAACCGCCAGCGUUGAAUCAGGGAGCCGACACCGACGCGUUGUGAUGCAUCUGGUUAACCUCAGCUCCAGCCCCAGUGGGCUCUGCCGUGUGUCCUGACACUGUCUAUACCAGCGCAGGGCCCAGUUCAGAGGCACGUGCCCCUGGUCUGUUGGCUCCUGAGUCUUGUCUUGCGGCCUGUGAUCCCAGAACAUGAGGAGAUUACGGAUCAAGGUUGGCCCUGAACUUGUUUAGGAAGAGAAUGAAGGUAGCAGAGGAAGCAGAACGGGGGCCAUCUCGACGGCGUUCGUCAGUUAGCGCCUGCAGGAAAUCUGCCCAUGGUCCACCACCAAAGAGCUUGGAAACGCCUCAUUCUCAACGUCACAUUGGUCUGUGCUCUUCUGCUGACACAGAUGGCGAUUCUCGGGCUGCACCAGCUCCUCGCAGGCUUGAGCUUCACGCUGUGGUUGACCAUCUGACACAGACGGCGAUUCUCGGGCUGCACCAGCUCCUCGCAGGCUUGAGCUUCACGCUGUGGUUGACCAUCUGGUGCAGCAGCUCGGUCCUCGAUAGCCGUCUCUCAAACACUGUGGUUCUUCGCGUUGACUUGCGCUUCCAGACAAGCUCUGCGUCACAUCGGCAGGUUUAAGAGCCGCACGUGACUUUGCUCUGACUUACGCUCAGUCUUUAAACCUGAGAGUUCUCUCUCUGUCCCGUCGUUGCCUCCAGGUGACGUGUCUCCUUCGUGAGCUUCUCCAUGUCAAGCCUCUGCCUUUCCGGGAAACGUUCUCAUUCUACCACUGAUUUCCCGCCGCUCUCUCAAUGUCCCAG
rnacentral:lncRNA from 1 species